AUGAGCCGUAAAGCGACUUUUCCAAGCUCGCUGCCGGCUAUAAAUACCAAAGUCACACUGUCGAUCACAGGAGGCCCUCAAAAGAUAAGCCUCGAGUACGACCACGACGUAUAGUCCCCAAAUGACACAAGUGAAACACCUUAUAAACCGUGUGACAGAACAUUCACACAAGAAAUGAACAAUUAACAAGUACAUAAACAUACGCGAACGAGCGUACAUUCUCGUCUCGUCCAUAAGUCCAUCAGCGAAGUGUAAGAUAAGAACCAAACACCUUACGCGAUAAUACACAAAAUUCGCGUAUUCACACCGAUUAUAACCUAAGACGAUUAUAAAAGACGGUAAAAUGAACGUGACGCUAAAAUGUCGUGACAUAAAUGCCAAUGUUAAAAUUCUCGGUUGUCGUCUAUGAAGGCCAGUGAAUGCGGCGAGCAUGCAGGAUACAGCGAUUUGAUGUGAUACUAGUCUCAAAUGCCUAUAUGCAUCAAGUAAUGUAGAUCUGAGCAAUCCCGCAUGCACUGUGCGAAGGUCCGCUGGCCUUGAGGUAGCAUCGCUCGCAACACUUCUCCUUCCAACAUCUCCACUUCGUCCGCAGUGGUCGUCAUCAUUUAUAUUGACACUUGUACACCUCCACGCUCACAAUGCCCGACCUGCGAGGCGAAACCUGGCUGUCAUACUGCGGCAGUGCCGACAUCCACAAGCACGGUGACAGCGUAAUGUAACAAGCCAUUCCAUACCUCUUUACUUGCAUUUUUAAAGGAGAAGUGUUAAGAAAUGGCUCCAUACCUUGACAAAAUGUCCACGAAGGCUGCAGCUUCAACCGGCGGCUGCUGUGUAGCAGCACCAUGGUCUCAUAUGUCCACGUAAGAUGUGCGUUGUAAUGCAGAUGAGUUCCGUUACCAUGCAAGUAUUAAGCGCCAUGUAGCGAAUAGGGAAAAAUGCGUGGCUGCGUGGAUCUCACGCCGGAUAUCCUCACAUGAGGGCCUUGCGAUAUCCUCACUUGCGGGACUUAUGCCGUACCUCAAGGCCUCUGCGUACCGAGGACGCAAAUGAAUGUUAUCACAUGUAAGAACGUUCUCGCCCUGCAGUGCAGCUGAGUGUAACGUCCUGCGUGUUUGAACGUGUCCCCGGUAUGCCUCCAUGUACAUGUACCUACAUCGACGCAGUGUCCCUGAAAUGUUAAAGUACUAGUGACGAACUUCUGAAAGGCAGAUGUGCUUUGUAUCCGGUCCUGCUUCUCAAGAAGCACAAAUCCGCAAAAUGAACGCGCUGUGCAGGCCACCGCAGCCCAACGAACUUCAUAGUGCAUUAGCCUCGAAUGACGGCCUGUGUGUGAUCUGUAGCGUGGCCGAGGAGUUGCAGGCAAUGAAUUUCGAUCACGGUGCGUGGACGUCACUCCAGGCAAUGGAACGUAUUCAACUGGACGUCCGCCUAAUAUUCAUGCAGACAAACUUUAUGGGAAACCAAAUCCACCAUAAUUUACAUAAUAAGAGCGCGGAAACAUACAAACCACCCAAGUUGCGGGCUCUGGCUGCUGUGGACGUCGCAUAAUGCCCGCGGUACUCUAAGGACAAGGCGCAUGCUGCGGGCAUCACUGCGGAGGACGUGGCUAUGGAAUGCAGGGUGGUCUAGGCGAAGUCCUGCAGGUAGCUUGAAUGCUGACUAGACGGCACACGAACGGGCAAGUCGUAAUACGCAGCAAAUAGCAACCCGCGAAAGGGGCCAAGAUUCCCUCCAGGCAACAAAUCAACAGUGAUAAAGAUUUACCUUACCGACUGAGUAUGCCCGGCGUGAAGGAUAUGGGCGUUGAGUGGCCCACACAGGAGUUCGGCUGGUUAAGGGAUGUUACUUAUGCGGCUUGAAAGAAGGGAGGUCCGCACAGGGCUUGUUGUCUAGCUCAGAGAACUUUACAAUGUUCCGAUCAUGAGCCGUAAAGCGACUUUUCCAAGCUCGCUGCCGGCUAUAAAUACCAAAGUCACACUGUCGAUCACAGGAGGCCCUCAAAAGAUAAGCCUCGAGUACGACCACGACGUAUAGUCCCCAAAUGACACAAGUGAAACACCUUAUAAACCGUGUGACAGAACAUUCACACAAGAAAUGAACAAUUAACAAGUACAUAAACAUACGCGAACGAGCGUACAUUCUCGUCUCGUCCAUAAGUCCAUCAGCGAAGUGUAAGAUAAGAACCAAACACCUUACGCGAUAAUACACAAAAUUCGCGUAUUCACACCGAUUAUAACCUAAGACGAUUAUAAAAGACGGUAAAAUGAACGUGACGCUAAAAUGUCGUGACAGCUGUCGCGUCACAUGACUGUAGCACCGAACAAAACACGUGCAGACGUACGGCAGACUCCCCCCCCCAGCGGGCGAAGCCGAGAUGGUGAAUGCCCGUGGAAAGC
rnacentral:lncRNA from 1 species